rnacentral:lncRNA from 1 species
GUUUUAGAAUCUAGAAAGUGCAAAUCUGGUUACUUAACAAUCAUACAAUUCAACAACAGACAAGAAGACAUAAACAUCCAAACAUUUUUUUUCUGGGGAAAUUAACCAAAUGAGUUAUUAAGAACAGUCUUGUCAGAUAUUUCCUUAGCAUCCUGAUAAACAGGGAAAUUUCACAUACCAUCUUGAUUCUAAAAAUUUAAGAAUAACAUCCAUAACCCAAUCUAUGAGAAAAUUAUUUCAGUUUAGCAUCACAUUAUUAUGAUCCUAAAAGACCCUGUGAAGAACACUACUUAAAUAAUUAUUAUUAUAAAAGCUAGUUUUUGAGAAAACCAUAAUUGUCAAUUACAAAUUUUGUUUUUGUUUUAACUGUCUGUUGCCCACCAUACCAUCUGCUUGCUAAAAAUUGAUGAUGACUGUAACCCAGAUUUACAAUUCAUGCACCCAAACUGCCAAUUUUGUUAUUUCAAAGACUUGGGUAUAUUAACAACAAUAACUAAUAACUCUCUCUUAUUUUCAAACCACCAUUAAUUGAUUAUUUAAUUAAUCAAAAACAAAUAUUAAUCUUGCAACAACAUAACAAUUUGGGAUAAAAAAAAAAAUCAAACCUAAUGUAGUAUUACAUGUACAUUCUUUACAAUAGAUUAUAUUAAAAACAGUAAAAUAAUAGAUAAUUGAGGAUGCAAAAGCUUUUUAAUUUGCAUUCUCAUUUUGUAAGUCUGUCCUUCAACAAAUUUUGUAAAGGCAUAAUCUCCAAAAGUAUGGCCUCUGGCUAAUGGGUAGAACAACCUUGAAGUUUCAUGUAACAUACAUUGAAAUACUUUAUUGUUGUAAUUGUUCUUAACAAAAAAUUUAAACUAAAAGUUGAAGGUUAAGACAGUUGUUGAGCAUAUUACAUACAGUUUUAUGUAUGUAAGUAUUUAACAAAUCAAUUGCAACCUUGGGAAUUUUUAAGAAGCAUUUUUUCCUGCUAGAAUGUCAAUGUCAACUGAUAGCUUGCACAGGCACUUCAAUGUCUUGGCCAAAAAAUUCCUAUAUACCUUAUUUUUUUUUUCUGAGCCAAAUGCCUGUGAUAAUUUGGUAUAAUAUGCUCCCCAAGUGUCAAAAGUCAAAUGGAUUUUUGUGAAUACCCCAAUAAAAACUAAAUUUUGAAGAAAAAUAAUUGUGAUACAUAUUUAUGUGCUCUACUCCAACAAAAAUGUAAUUAAAGGUAUGAUACCUAGUCCAAAUUGAUCUUUUGAAAAAUUAAAAAAAAAAUUAUGGUACACAAGGUAAAAUUCAGACCUCCAUGAUAUAGGCAAGAGUACUGAAAGUGGCAUAAAAAAAAACAAUAAAUCAAUCCAUAAAACUAACUCUGAUUCACACUGAACAUUAUGACAAAAGUUGAUUUACACGUAGCACACUGACCCUUAUGUGAAAUCUUACAAAAAAAGUAGUAAUAACAUAGAUUUUCAAGAUUUUGGUCAAGAAUUUAAAAAUUUGAGAAUCAUCAUUUUUACAGGUUUGCACU